rnacentral:rRNA from 1 species
UACGAAGGGGGGCUAGCGUUGUUCGGAAUUACUGGGCGUAAAGCGCACGUAGGCGGAUUUGUAAGUCAGGGGUGAAAUCCCGGGGCUCAACCUCGGAACUGCCUUUGAUACUGCAAAUCUCGAGUCCGGAAGAGGUGAGUGGAAUUCCUAGUGUAGAGGUGAAAUUCGUAGAUAUUAGGAAGAACACCAGUGGCGAAGGCGGCUCACUGGUCCGGUACUGACGCUGAGGUGCGAAAGCGUGGGGAGCAAACAGG